rnacentral:rRNA from 1 species
GUGGGGAAUAUUGCACAAUGGGGGAAACCCUGAUGCAGCAACGCCGCGUGAGUGAAGAAGUAUUUCGGUAUGUAAAGCUCUAUCAGCAGGGAAGAUAAUGACGGUACCUGACUAAGAAGCUCCGGCUAAAUACGUGCCAGCAGCCGCGGUAAUACGUAUGGAGCAAGCGUUAUCCGGAUUUACUGGGUGUAAAGGGUGCGUAGGUGGCAGUGCAAGUCAGAUGUGAAAGGCCGGGGCUCAACCCCGGAGCUGCAUUUGAAACUGCUCGGCUAGAGUACAGGAGAGGCAGGCGGAAUUCCUAGUGUAGCGGUGAAAUGCGUAGAUAUUAGGAGGAACACCAGUGGCGAAGGCGGCCUGCUGGACUGUUACUGACACUGAGGCACGAAAGCGUGGGGAGCAAACAGGA